AAUCAACGCUGGCGGCGUGCCUCAGACAUGCAAGUCGAACGCGAAAGUCCCCUUCGGGGACGAAGUAGAGUGGCGCACGGGUGAGUAACACGUAGGUAAUCUACCUUCGGAUGGGAAGUAACAACCGGAAACGGUUGCUAAUACCGCAUAAUGCAGCGGCACCUAAUGGUGACAGUUGUUAAAGCGGGGGAUCGUUAAGACCUCGCGUCUGAAGAGGAGCCUGCGGCGGAUUAGCAGUUGGUAGGGUAACGGCCUACCAAGGCGACGAUCCGUAGCCGGCCUGAGAGGGCGGUCGGCCACACUGACACUGACAUACGGGUCAGACUCCUACGGGAGGCAGCAGUCGGGAAUUUGAGCAAUGGGCGAAAGCCUGACCCAGCAACGCCGCGUGAAGGAUGAAAUCCCUCGGGAUGUAAACUUCGCAAGAACGGGAAGAAUAAGCGAGAGUAAAUACCUUUCGCGA
rnacentral:rRNA from 1 species